UGAGGAAUCUUCUGCAAUGGGCGAAAGCCUGACAGAGCAAUACCGCGUGGAGGAUGAAGGCCUGCGGGUUGUAAACUUCUUUUCUCAAGGAGGAAGAUCUGACGUUACUUGAGGAAUAAGCAUCGGCUAACCACGUGCCAGCAGCCGCGGUAAUACAUGGGAUGCAAGUGUUAUCCGGAAUUAUUGGGCGUAGAGCGUCUGCAGGUUGGGAUUUAAGUCUUUUGUUAAAGCUUUGGGCUUAACCUGAAAUAUGCAAAAGAAACUACUUUUCUAGAGUCUAGUAGAGGUUAAGGGAAUUCCCAGUGGAGCGGUGAAAUGCGUAGAUAUUGGGAGGAACACCAAUGGCGAAGGCACUUAACUGGAAUAAGACUGACACUCAGAGACGAAAGCUAGGGGAUCAAAUCAG
rnacentral:rRNA from 1 species